GGGUGAGUAACGCGUAAGUAAUCUACCCUGAUAUCUGGGAUAACAAUUCGAAAGGAUUGCUAAUACCGGAUACGCUGAUUUAUCAGGAAAGGUGGCCUCUUCAUGAAAGCUACUGUAUCAGGAGGAGCUUGCGUACCAUUAGCUAGUUGGUGGGGUAAUGGCCUACCAAGGCGACGAUGGUUAGCGGGUCUGAGAGGAUGAUCCGCCACACUGGAACUGAAACACGGACCAGACUCCUACGGGAGGCAGCAGUGAGGAAUAUUGCGCAAUGGGGGAAACCCUGACGCAGCGACGCCGCGUGGAUGAUGAAGGCUUUCGGGUCGUAAAAUCCUGUCAGAUGGGAAGAAAUGCUAUGAGGCUAAUACCCUUGUAGUUUGACGGUACCAUCAAAGGAAGCACCGGCUAACUCCGUGCCAGCAGCCGCGGUAAUACGGAGGGUGCAAGCGUUGUUCGGAAUUACUGGGCGUAAAGCGCGCGUAGGCGGCCUUUUAAGUCAGAUGUGAAAGUCCACGGCUCAACCGUGGAAGUGCAUUUGAUACUGGGAGGCUUGAGUACUGGAGGGGAUGGUGGAAUUCCCGGUGUAGAGGUGAAAUUCGUAGAUAUCGGGAGGAAUACCGGUGGCGAAGGCGACCAUCUGGCCAGAUACUGACGCUGAGGUGCGAAAGCGUGGGGA
rnacentral:rRNA from 1 species